ensembl:snRNA U4 U4 spliceosomal RNA
AGCUUUGUGCAGUGGCAGUAUCGUAGCCAAUGAGGUUUAUCUGAGGCGCGAUUAUUGCUAAUUGAAAACUUUUCCCAAGAAAGAAGACAUAGAAGUAAUAUACAAUAGAUUAACUUUAAAACCCUAUAGUUCUAAAUUUGAUUUAGG